UUGGAGGGCAAGUCUGGUGCCAGCAGCCGCGGUAAUUCCAGCUCCAAUAGCGUAUAUUAAAGUUGUUGCAGUUAAAAAGCUCGUAGUUGAAUUUCGAGACCGGUUUACUGGUCGUGCUUUUGUACGUACUGGUAUUAUUGGUUUCUCCUUUCUGACGAAUCAUAAUGCCAUUAAUUUGGUGUUUUGGGGAAUCAGGACUGUUACUUUGAAAAAAUUAGAGUGUUUAAAGCAGGCUCACGCUUGAAUACAUUAGCAUGGAAUAAUGAAAUAGGACGUUCGAUCCUAUUUUGUUGGUUUCUAGGAUUGACGUAAUGAUUAAUAGGGAUAGUUGGGGGCAUUAGUAUUCAAUUGUCAGAGGUGAAAUUCUUGGAUUUAUUGAAGACUAACUACUGCGAAAGCAUUUGCCAAGGAUGUUUUCAUUAAUCAAGAACGAAAGUUAGGGGAUCGAAGACGAUCAGAUACCGUCGUAGUCUUAACCAUAAACUAUGCCGACUAGGGACCGGAUGAUGUUAAUUUUUUAAUGACUCAUUCGGCGCCUUACGGGAAACAAUCGAAUU
rnacentral:rRNA from 1 species